GCGGAUGUGGCGGAAUUGGCAGACGCGCCAGACUUAGGAUCUGGUAUCUUUUGAUGUGAAGGUUCGAGUCCUUUCAUCCGCA
rnacentral:tRNA from 1 species